rnacentral:misc_RNA from 1 species
UUAAGUUCAGCGGGUAGUCCUACCUGAUCUGAGGUCAAAUCGAAUGAAGUGCCCGAGGGCGGGUUAUAAGCAGAGAGCCUCUAAUGCUGACGGAACCUAAUACGCCAGAGUCAAAGCCGACCACUAAUGCUUUUAAGGCGAGCCAAACGGCAGGCGCCCAAAUCCAACCGAGCCGGUCUCCCGUCAAGGUUGAUGCUUCA